AUUCAGCUGACGAGUCCCAAAGAGGAUGAAACGCGCGUCCUGGAU
rnacentral:hammerhead_ribozyme from 1 species